UCAUGGGUGUGUCACACUCUCUCAGCCUCAGAGGAAGGCAAACAAACCGUGCCAAGAAAUUGGUAAGUGAUAUGUUUGCCUUUUGGGCACCCAGCCUGAGACACGAUCAGAAGGCAAGCAACGACAAGAGGCAAUAAAAUAAUACUGUCUUCUUCCUGGUGCCUCUAUUUCAGAUUGCUCCUCUCCAGCUGGGUGUCUUCUCCAUUGCACUGGCCUUGUGCCAUGGAUACUGCCAAACGGACUAUCUCAAACCUAUUCUUAAAUACGGUAAACCAAGGGAGUAUGUGUGUGUCGACAUGUAUGAUGGGACUAUUCAUCGCAUUGGAGAUUCGUGGGAAACAGAAAAGUGUAUGGAAUGUACCUGCAACACAAUGGGGCAGCAUUGUUGUACCAGAUACGGUGGACCUAUGAAAAUUGAAGGAUGCAUAGCAAAGGUCGAUAAAACAACAUGCAAGUAUAAGUUCUAUAAGGAGGAGAAUCCGUCAGAACCAUGUUUUGAAGAAGGCGAUGAACCUCUGAAAUGA